GGUGGGGCCUCUGGGCAUUUGGAUCUGCCCUCAGCAGCCCCAGGGGACAGGCCUGCUCCAGAGCCAGCUGAGCCACCCUCGCAAAGACCUUGGAGCCAACCCCCCAUCACUCAACCUGAACUAGAAGGCAGCAGGCAAGUAGUGUUUCACUCUUCUGCUCCUUCCCCCGCUUCUCCAUGUAGUUGCAUGGGUCCUGGACCAGGUCUGGGUGUGAGCCAGUGGCAGAUUGGGUUCAGUCAGCCUACCCAAGGGAGAAUCGGGAAAGAUUGACCCUGCCCUGCCCCUGGGGUGUACUGAUCCAGAGGCUGAGUUGUGGCUGGAGACGGUGGUUUGGGGGCUCUCAGCCAGAGCUCUCUCUGGGAUGGAAUCAAACCCUUCAUUUUGUACCCAAAAUAAUUAAUGCCUCCCUUCCCCCUAGCUUUUGGAAUUGGACUUCCAGCCUGAAUCAUCCCAGGUCUCUGACCAUAAAGGAUGGCCUUCUUUGAAGCCUGUCUCUCUCAGUUCUCACACUCUUCUAAAUCCCUGUGCCCCUGCUCGCCCUGGUGCUCACAGUGAAAAGUUGGCAGCAGCUAUGGAUCAAGUCAGCCAUCGCUCUGAGUCCAGCUUCUCCAGUUCCUCCAAUUUCCUGCCCUGGGCACUUGGUGAACCCCAGAACUAAGGUGCUGGAGAGCUCCAGCCAGGCCAAAGCCAACGUGAACCCUGAAGCGCACACAACAUGAGGAAGCUGAGAAAGCUGUUAGCGAGGUUCGGGAGCAGGCCAAACAGCGGCGUGUCAGGCCCAGCCUGGUCCAACAAUUGUAUUGUGAAGUGUGUCCAGGAGGGAAAAUGGUUUAUUUUUAACGGAA